UUCUUUUGUUUUGAUUCAUUUCCUCGCCCUCUCCUUCUUGCUCGGCCCUUCGGCCCUCAGACAGGUGGAAUGGCCGGAUGGUUGGUCGGCAUCGUGUGCUGCACGGUGGCCCUCCCCCGGGGCGGCGCGUGGGCCCUACCCGGGGAAGCAACAGGGAUGCGUACGCAGGGGUUGUGGGGUUUGGGCGCCGCGGGGGCCGCGGCGCGCCUGCCCGGAAAUCGACCGGGCGUGGGUUUUGUAAUGAUCCUUCCGCAGGUUCACCUACGGAAA
rnacentral:misc_RNA from 1 species